ensembl:snoRNA
UGGAUCAAUGAUGACCACUGGUGGCGUAUGAGUUGAGGAUCAUGACUGCUGGUCUGGAAGUCUGAGGUCCAC